GACGAACGCUGGCGGCGUGCCUAAUACAUGCAAGUUGAGCGCUGAAGGUUGGUACUUGUACCGACUGGAUGAGCAGCGAACGGGUGAGUAACGCGUGGGGAAACUGCCUUUGAGCGGGGGACAACAUUUGGAAACGAAUGCUAAUACCGCAUAAAAACUUUAAACACAAGUUUUAAGUUUGAAAGAUGCAAUUGCAUCACUCAAAGAUGAUCCCGCGUUGUAUUAGCUAGUUGGUGAGGUAAAGGCUCACCAAGGCGAUGAUACAUAGCCGACCUGAGAGGGUGAUCGGCCACAUUGGGACUGAGACACGGCCCAAACUCCUACGGGAGGCAGCAGUAGGGAAUCUUCGGCAAUGGACGAAAGUCUGACCGAGCAACGCCGCGUGAGUGAAGAAGGUUUUCGGAUCGUAAAACUCUGUUGGUAGAGAAGAACGUUGGUGAGAGUGGAAAGCUCAUCAAGUGACGGUAACUACCCAGAAAGGGACGGCUAACUACGUG
rnacentral:rRNA from 1 species